UAGGGAAUCUUGCGCAAUGGACGAAAGUCUGACGGAGCAACGCCGCGUGAGUGAAGAAGGAUUUCGGUUCGUAAAACUCUGUUGUUAGGGAAGAAAAAAUGUAUAGUAACUAUAUACAAAAGAGACGGUACCUAACCAGAAAGCCACGGCUAACUACGUGCCAGCAGCCGCGGUAAUACGUAGGUGGCAAGCGUUGUCCGGAACUAUUGGGCGUAAAGCGCGCGCAGGUGGUUUAGAAAGUCUGAUGUGAAAGCCCACGGCUCAACCGUGGAGGGUCAUUGGAAACUAAUAAACUUGAGUGCAGGAGAGAAAAGUGGAAUUCCUAGUGUAGCGGUGAAAUGCGUAGAGAUUAGGAGGAACACCGGUGGCGAAAGCGGCUUUUUGGCCUGCAACUGACACUGAGGCGCGAAAGCGUGGGGAGCAAACAGG
rnacentral:rRNA from 1 species